ACGUCUGCCUGGGCGUCACGCAUCGCGUCGCCCCCGCACACCGCGCCCAUUCUCAUGAUUGCGGUGGUGUCGUGGGACGGAUACUGGCCUCCCGUGUGCCUCGAGCGUGCGGUUGGCCUAAAUGCGAGUCCACGGCGACGGACGUCACGACAAGUGGUGGUUGAAACUCAACUCUCGUAAUGUGGCUACAACCCGUCGCAUGUUUGGGCUCCCCGACCCUUAUCGCUUAGGCGCUCCGACCGCGACCCCAGGUCAGGCGGG
rnacentral:rRNA from 1 species